CUCCUGAUAAAAUUACUUACUUUCUUCUCACCACUCUGUAGCAGGACAGCUUUGAAUGCAGCUCAAUUCAAAUUUCUAAACGUUCUUAAAACGUUCUGAGAUUUUUUUGGUGGUUUUGGUUUUUAGUUCAUCAGCUAUCGUUAGCGUCAGUGUAUUUUAUGUGUGACCCAAGACGAUUCUUCUUCUUCCACUGUGGCCCAGGGAGGCCAAAAGACUACAUUGGCUUA